CUCAUGACCCUGCGAUCAAGACCUGAGAUGAGAUCAAGAAUCACACACUCAACCGACUGAGCCAUACAGGCGCCCCCCCCACUCCGUCCCUCCAAGAUAAGCUCUGCGACUGAGAGCACAGCGUCCAUCGCAAGGAAGCCCCACGAGUCUUCACUUCAGUUCUAGCACCUUUGUUUUAUGAGCUCGGCCUCGCACGUCUACAUGGCCAGAGGUUUAUUGAGCAUCUACUCCACGCCGGGCCCUGUCCUGAACACAAGAAACAAGAACUCUGAGCUUGAGGAGCCUGCAUUUCAAUGGCGGGGACAGGACUCCAAGGCCAGCUAACACACACAGCAUCUGGUGUCUCAGACCACGCUGGACGCUCUGCUGAGAGGCUGAGGAGUCGAACAGGAUUCUGUCCCAGGAGACUCUCCUUGGGUCUGCCGUCGUGGAUUCUGUAGGAGCCCUCCUGUCUCUCUCUGUCCCGGUGCCAGUGCUAGGUCCUGAGGUGGCAUGGAGAGUAGGGAAGCCCUGGCUGGAGCUGAGGUGGCCCUUCGGCUGUGCCCAAGAAGGACUGACUCGCUCAGCUUUUCAAAGUCCCCAGCUGUAACUCGAGGGAAAUCCUUAGUGGACCCAGGCAUCCACAGGGGUCCUGCGUCAGCCUCCAGCCCCUCAGCAGGCUGCCUGGCUCCACCCCAUGUGGCCUCGGGCCAGGGGAAGGGAGGGCCCUUGUUUUCGACCUGGCCUCUUCUGCCAAGGUUCCCCACCCCCGCCCCCGCACUCCCAGAGGAAACAGCAUUGACAUCUCCGCAAAUGCAAAACAGAAGAGACUGUUUCUGUUCCACGAACUAAAUUCCUCUUUAGUCCUUCACUUGAAUGCAGAUUGGUCUCAUUUCUAAGAAUCAAAAAUACAAAGCUUCUGGGCAACUUUGCUUUUAGAAAUGGUAGGUGAAGGGCCGCACAGGUGGCGGUGGGAAAGAAUAAGGAAAGAUGAUAAUCCCAGUUAGGAGGGGAAAGUUGACUAGAAAGUGAAGUGUGCUUUGUUGUUACCUUUUAAAAAGUGUAUUUAUUUACUUGAGGGGGAGGGACAGAAGGAGAGGGAGAGGGAA